CCAGCUGAGAGCUCAACAUUCAGAAACUAACAUCAUGGCAUCUGAUCCCAUCACUUAAUGGCAAAUAGAUGGGAAAACAGUGGAAACAGUGAUAGAGUUUAUUUUCUUGGGCUCCAAAAUCACUGGAUGGCGAUUGUAGCCAUGAAAUUAAAAGGCGCUUGCUCCUUGGAGAAAAGCUGUGACAAACCUAGACAGUGUAUUAAAAGCAGACGAAGUCUAUCAUACUUUGCAGACAAAGGUCUGUUUGGUCAAACUAUGGUUUUUCCAGUAGUCAUGUAUGGAUGUGAGAGUUGGACCAUAAAAAAGGCUGAGCUCUGAAAAAUUGAUGCUUUCGAACUCUGGUGUUGGAAGAUUCUUGGGAGUCCCUUGGCCUGCAAAGAGAUCCAACCAGUCCAUCCUAAAGGAAGUCAGUCCUGACUAUUCACUGGGAGGACUGAUGCUGAAGCUGCAACUCCAAUACUUUGGUCACCUGGUGUGAAGAACCGACUAAUUGGAAAAGACCCUGAUGCUGGGAAAGAUUAAAGGCAGGAAAAGAGGGGGACAACAGAGGAUGAGAUGGCUGGAUGGCAUCACUGACUCAGUGGACAUGAGUUUGAGCAAGCUCUGGGAGAUGGCUAAGGACAGGGAAGCCUGGUGUGCUGUGGUCCGUGGGGCCGCAAAGAGCUGGACACGGCUGAGCAAGUGAACAACAAGACGUGAGCCUGGAGCAGGUGGACACAUCGCUCCCCACUCCCCCAGGUGGACGCCUCGCUCCCCGCUCCCCCAGGUGGACGCCUCGCUCCCCGCUCCCCCAGGUGGACGCCUCGCUCCCCGCUUCCCCAGGGAGGCUUCUCGCUGGUCCCUGCUCCUCUGAGCCAGCACCCUCGGUCCCAUUUCUGAAAUGCUGCUGUUGUCCCCUUGGUGGAGAGGGUCCCUCUACCACUGUCCGGGGGGAAUUAGAGGUGAGAGCGCAUGGUGCCCAGUCCACUCUGCCUGAGAGCUGGUCUCCACUGGGGGUCGUGGGAGGAAGAAAGGACACAGGAGACCUGCGGGUGGG
ensembl:lncRNA